rnacentral:lncRNA from 1 species
AAGGCUUAGCUGAUUCAUGGGCAGCCUGGAAGUCUUCAUUGAGCAAUAAUUGACAUAUAACUGUGUAACUUUAAGGUGAUGAUUUGAAACAUUUACGUAUUAUGAAUGAUGACCACAAUGAGGUUAGUUAACACUUCCAUCAUCUCACAAUGAUCACCACAAGACUAGUUAACAUCCAUCACCAAACAUAGUUACAAUUUUCUUUCUACUGACGAGAACUUUUAAGAUCCACCAUCUUGGGGCUGGCCCCAAGGCCGAUUGGUUAAGUUCGUGCACUCCACUUCGAUGGCCCAGGAUCCCAGGCAUGGACCUAGCACCGCACAUCAAGCCAUGCUGAGGUGGAGUCCCACAUAGCAGAACCAGAGGGACCUGCAACUAGAAUAUACGACUAUGCAUUGGAGGGUUUUGGGGAGAAGAAGAAAAUGAAGAAGAAGAAGACUGGCAACAAAUGUUAGCUCAGAGAUUCCUCUCCUCAUCUCCAAAAGUGCCUGUGAAUGGGGCUGGCCCCGUGGCCGAGCGGUUAAGUUCGCGCGCUCCACUGCAGGCGGCCCAGUGUUUCGUUGGUUCGAAUCCUGGGCGCGGACAUGACACUGCUCAUCAAACCACGCUGAGGCAGCGUCCCACAUGCCACAACUAGAAGGACCCACAACGAAGAGUAUACAACUAUGUACUGGGGGGCUUUGGGGAGAAAAAGGAAAAAAUAAAAUCUU